rnacentral:rRNA from 1 species
UACGAAGGGGGCUAGCGUUGCUCGGAAUUACUGGGCGUAAAGGGCGCGUAGGCGGCACUGUUAGUCAGGCGUGAAAGUCCUGGGCUCAACCUGGGAACUGCGCUUGAUACGGCAGAGCUAGAGGAUGGAAGAGGGUCGCGGAAUUCCCAGUGUAGAGGUGAAAUUCGUAGAUAUUGGGAAGAACACCGGUGGCGAAGGCGGCGACCUGGUCCAUUACUGACGCUGAGGCGCGACAGCGUAGGGAGCAAACAGG